rnacentral:piRNA from 1 species
CAGCGGUGCGACGAGAUGCUGCUUCUCAGA